GAUGAACGCUAGCGGCAGGCCUAAUACAUGCAAGUCGAACGGGAUCCAGAUCAAAGCUUGCUUUGGUCUGGUGAGAGUGGCGCACGGGUGCGUAACGCGUGAGCAACCUACCCUUGUCAGGGGGAUAGCCCGGCGAAAGUCGGAUUAAUACCGCAUGACAUCAUUGAGAGGCAUCUUUCGAUGAUCAAAGAUUUAUCGGACAAGGAUGGGCUCGCGUGACAUUAGCUAGUUGGUAAGGUAACGGCUUACCAAGGCUGCGAUGUCUAGGGGCUCUGAGAGGAGAAUCCCCCACACUGGUACUGAGACACGGACCAGAGUCCUACGGGAGGCAGCAGUAAGGAAUAUUGGUCAAUGGACGGAAGUCUGAACCAGCCAUGCCGCGUGCAGGAAGACGGCCCUAUGGGUUGUAAGCUGCUUUUAUACGGGAACAAACGUCGGUACGUGUACCGGUCUGAGUGUACCGUAAGAAUAAGGAUCGGCUAACUCCGUG
rnacentral:rRNA from 1 species